rnacentral:lncRNA from 1 species
CUUCAAACCGAGUAUCCAUUUGCUACCAGUAUGGGGCAAUGGAUGAAUUCUCCAUCUCCAGGGGAAAAUGCUAUUAUCCCCUAUCAAAUAAAUUCCUAAUUUUCCUUUUGGGGCUUCUACUCUGACAUAAAGUUCUUGUUUCGACAAUUCAAAAUUGGGUGAAGGUUUUUUAUUAAUAAAUCUAUACACUAUUUAGUAUGGCAAACCAUGAUUUUAACAAUAUAAUUAGGAAAAUGAUCGAAAAGUUUGGUGAACAACAUCAAGUUCAAGAUAAAAAGGGGAUAGUAAUAGUAAUAUAAGGCAACCUCAAAUUUUAUGCACAUAGAAAUUACUGAUUCUCAGUUCGCGAAGAGUCUUAUCCUCUUGCAAUGCCAAUCUUGAACUGGGGAUCCUCGGUGGUGGAGGCAACCAAUCCUCAUCUUUUCUCUCCUUUCCACCCUUCUCAUCAUUAUCAUCAUCAUCUAAAACAACAACAUCCUUUCGGUUUGGUUCACCUUCCCAUCCUAAAAAUUCAAAAAAAUCAAAAAAAGAAGAAUCUAACGGACCCAAAACUUCCACAAAACGACAAAAAACCCUAAUCUGAACAAGAUGCAACUCAGUGUACGAUCGGCGGUCUUCUUCCUCUUCAUCCCAGGAAAAAUUGGAACCGAAUCCAGAUCGUCAUCAUCGAAGGAGGGGAAAUCCGUGGGCUGGACACGGCUGUAAUCGAAGAGAGGCUCGAGCUCUUUUCCAGGCUCAUCCUGCCGAACGAAUCAAAGGAGAAAGAGAUGGAAAACUGAGGGAGGGGAAAAAACCUAGAAAAUUUAGCCACAAGGGAAGCAGAGAGCACAGUAAUUCGCAAACCACUGGCGACGAAUUGAUAGCGUUCCAAGGGGGAGACGGCUAUUUGGCGUCGAAACGUUCGCUGAACCGAAGCGGUGGUGGCGGCGGGAGGUGGCUGCGCGCUCGCGGCCGACGAUUUGGGGGGAAGAAACAAGGAAUGUUUUCCUAAUUUCAUAUCGAACGUGAGGGAAGUGCAAUGCACUUGCGAUGAUGCAACGAUGCAAGUGACGGAGCAUGAAUCUCAUAAAGAUUCUUCUUUGACCAGGGAGGGACAUGGAUUUACAUUGUGACAUUAAUUUUAGGACCGCCAACCAAGAAGGAAGUCCUGCAUGGUCGUAAGUCA